rnacentral:rRNA from 1 species
GUAGGGCGCAAGGCGUUAGUCCGGAUUUAUUGGGCGUAAAGAGCUACGUAGGCGGCUUGUCGCGUCGACUGUGAAAACCCGUGGCUACAACCCAUGUGGUCUGGCAGUUCGAUACGGGCAGGCUAGAAUUCGGUAGGGGAGACUGGGAAUUCCUGGUGUAGCGGUGAAAUGACGCAGAUAUCAGGAGGAACGACCGGUGGCGAAGGCGGGUCUCUCGGGCCGAUAUUGACGCUGAGGAGCGAAAGCGUGGGGAGCGAACAGG